rnacentral:rRNA from 1 species
UACGAAGGGGGCUAGCGUUACUCGGAAUCACUGGGCGUAAAGGGUGCGUAGGCGGGUCUUUAAGUCAGGGGUGAAAUCCUGGAGCUCAACUCCAGAACUGCCUUUGAUACUGAAGAUCUUGAGUUCGGGAGAGGUGAGUGGAACUGCGAGUGUAGAGGUGAAAUUCGUAGAUAUUCGCAAGAACACCAGUGGCGAAGGCGGCUCACUGGCCCGACACUGACGCUGAGGCACGAAAGCGUGGGGAGCAAACAGG